ACUCCUACGGGAGGCAGCAGUGGGAAUAUUGCACAAUGGGCGCAAGCCUGAUGCAGCCAUGCCGCGUGUGUGAAGAAGGCCUUCGGGUUGUAAAGCACUUUCAGUUGUGAGGAAGGAUGGUGUCGUUAAUAGUACGGCAUUCAUUUGAUCGUUUAGCAACAUGAAGAAGCACCGGCUAACUCCGUGCCAGCAGCCGCGGUAAUACGGAGGGUGCGAGCGUUAAUCGGAAUUACUGGGCGUAAAGCGCAUGCAGGUGGUUUGUUAAGUCAGAUGUGAAAGCCCGGGGCUCAACCUCGGAAUCUUGACAUUUG
rnacentral:rRNA from 1 species